CCAGACUCCUACGGGAGGCAGCAGUGGGGAAUAUUGCACAAUGGGGGGAACCCUGAUGCAGCGACGCCGCGUGGGUGAAGGAGUAUUUCGGUAUGUAAAGCCCUAUCAGCAGGGAAGAACAAUGACGGUACCUGACUAAGAAGCACCGGCUAAAUACGUGCCAGCAGCCGCGGUAAUACGUAUGGUGCAAGCGUUAUCCGGAUUCACUGGGUGUAAAGGGAGCGUAGACGGCGACGCAAGUCUGGAGUGAAAGCCCGGGGCCCAACCCCGGGACUGCUCUGGAAACUGCGUCGCUGGAGUACGGGAGGGGCAGGCGGAAUUCCUAGUGUAGCGGUGAAAUGCGUAGAUAUUAGGAGGAACACCAGUGGCGAAGGCGGCCUGCUGGACUGCAACUGACGUUGAGGCUCGAAGGCGUGGGGAGCAAACAGGAUUAGAUACCCCAGUA
rnacentral:rRNA from 1 species